GGGGAUAUAGCUCAGUGGUAGAGCACUUGCCUAGCAUGAUACGUCCCUGGGUUCAAUCCCCAGUACUGCAA
rnacentral:tRNA from 1 species